GAGAAGCGGACCUUCCGCGACCAUGGAAUUCAAAAAAUUUAUGAAUGUAUUACCGAUAACUUUACCUUAAAUAAAAGUUUCAUAUUCGCAUAUCUUUUCUUUUGGCAUGAGCUUAUAACGACAGGGAGUAGCUCCUUCAGACAAUCGAAACUAAGCAUGUCAGGAACAAGAGGAGAACCUCGUCCCGACACAAACGAAGGCCCGAUUAU
rnacentral:lncRNA from 1 species